UCAAAAUGAAAUUAAGGAAAUCUGGCAAUGACUGUUUGUUGUGAAAAAUUUUUUUUUAAGUUUGUUUUGCUGUUAUAAAGUAUGUUGCGUUAUGAUGCAUGUGUGAAUAGGAGAAGUUCUUGAUGUUUGAAUCUCUAAAUUAAACGAUAUGAUUGACAACAAAUUUUCUGUGAUGAAAUUUAUAUCAAGACAUAAACUGUUAUUUGUCUGCUUAAUAGUCGCCUGGAUUAUAGGCAUGAUUAUCACAGUUAUGCUUAUUAGCCGGAGCACUCAUACUAAGAUGAAAUUACAAAGAAUGUCUCAUCCAUUAAUACAUCCUUUGCAACAUAAUCGUUUACCUCCAGCAUCUAGCUUCAAAAUGGUGAAAGCUCUUAGAUACUGUAAUCCACCUGCCGAUAUAGCUUUAGGUCAAGAAGGUAAAGCUCCUGUUAAUGGAUCAUUAGAGUUUGUAGCUGUUGUAAUUCGACAUGGAGAUCGUGCCCCUCUGAGGCCCAUCAGAAACCAAUCAAUCAUCAGCUGUGGCACUCAGAAUAGUCCUCUUCUUUUGAAAUAUCUCAAGACUUUAAAACAUUUGCGGGGAUCUGCUAAGCAUCUGUUCCCAUUCACAACAUUUCCCUUGUAUCCUGCAGAAAAGCACUGCACUUCUUCUCAGAUGACUUUAGUAGGAGCUCAUCAACAUUUAAUGGUUGGACAUGCUCUACAGAGAGCGUAUAUUGAUGAUCAUGCUUUGUUAGAUAAAAACUGGACAUCUGAUCAUAUAAAACUUUAUAGUACAAUUUAUUCUAGAACAUUUCAGAGUGCUGUAGCUUUUCUUUUUGGAUUUUUACCAAGCUUUAAUAUAACAAACAUAAAAAUCAUUCCAUCUCCUGAUACAAGGUUUUGUAUGACUGAAUAUUAUUGUAAAUGCCCUCUACUAGAACAUUUGCAAACUUUAAUGGAUAAAAAAAUGAGAAGAUUAUUACAUUCUCAUCCGGCUGUAGUACAUCUGUUACAGCGACUUAGUCCCAUUGUGAAAUCUAAUCCAAAUCAUUCUGAUAUCACUGCUCCAUUGGCAAUGUUUGACAGUCUGAUGGGCUAUGUGUGUCAUGGUUCUCAUUUACCAUGCAUUCCAGGUACUAGUGAUUGUGUUACAUUUGAGCAUGUUCGUAACCUGAUUGCGUAUCUUGACUGGGAAGGUCGACAAUUUGUGAGAGACAGUACUCAUACCAAGACAGCUCUUUUGAAGAUGCAAGGAUUUUUUAUUCAUCUAGUCAACAAUAUGAAAAAUUUCAUUAAUGGAAAAUCUGCUGCUCGCUUUAUGCUUUACUCUGGUCAUGAUGUUACUUUAGAACCUUUAUCAACAGCACUUGGUAUUGAUGAUGGUAGCAUGAUACCAUAUGCUUCUCGCAUCAUUUUUGAAAUGUACAGUCAUGCCGUAAAUAAUAAUAUUCAGUAUGCUUUAAAAGUUUUGUAUAAUGGUAAAGAUGUUACAAAAUACACAUCUUUUUGCAAAUUGUAUUUUAAAGAUUCUUUCAAGAAAUUGGACCGUGCUUCGGAAUAUGGCAUUUGUCCUUUUGAAACUUUCAGGAAAUUUGUAGAAGAAGAAUAUAUCUUAGCAUUGCGUGCCACAUCAUUUGCAGCUGCAUGUAAUUCUUUUCAUGUGACUUCUGAUCCUUUUGAUGUCAAAUAUAGUUCCUAUGUUGAAGGCUCUUAUAAGAUAUAGCAAAAACUUAUUCAGAUGCUAUUUAUACAGUUAUCUGUCCAUUUUUAGCAUACAAAUACAAAGUUAAUGUUCUUCCAUAUUUGAAUUUUAUGCUAAAAUAUGUGCUGUUGGCUGUAAAGGUGAGAAUACUACUGCAAAGCUUAGUGUUUAUUUCAAAUUGAAAACAUCUAUCACCUUCAUUAUGUAUUGUCACCUGAACUUCAAAAAAAAUCACUGCUGUUACAAAAGAAUUUGAGCAGCUUAUUUUAACGUAUGUUUUUCGAUUUUGGAGCUAACUCAAAUGUUAAGAAAAAUGAAACCAGAAAAGUACACUGGAAUACCUUCCUCUGUGCCACUGGGUAGCAUGACGAAUCAACAAAGCUAAAGGUGAUAUUCUUUUGCGCUAGUGGUAGAGAAUUUGACUCGCAUUAGACACGGGAUCGAAACCCAAGGUCAUUACCGUCUUCAAGGACAUGCGAAACUCGUGAACUGCAGCACUUCAAGAUCAAGUUUAUUGUCAAAUACAAUAUAUUUGCAAUUGAUUAUGAGCUUUAUCGGCUCCUUGAAGCUGAAAAUUGAUUUCAUAAAAUGUCUGCCAAAAUAAAAAGCAUCAUCCUUUAUUAUUUUUAAUUCUUAACAAAGAUUUGUCAUUAAUAUUUAAAAAAAAACCCGUGUGAUAUGGUUAUAUAAUACUACAAAACAAAACAAACAUGCACCUUUCAGCAACCAUCGAAUUUCUGUAUGUAAAAGUAUAUUAACAAAAUCAUCAUUAUUGUCCUGACAUAAUACUGUCAAAACAUUCUACAAUGCUUGGCAUUGGAUUUUAUCUAGUUUACAGCUUUAAUUAUUACACUCAAUGAUGAAUGGAUACUUGUACCUAAAAGCUUUGCCACAACAUAUCUAUGCACCAUACAAUGAAUGCACAAAAUAUUUGGAAAUUCGUUCUUUAAAUAAGUAAUAAAUCCAUGAUAAGGGGGCCUACUCUUGAUGAUAUUCCAUCAGUAGCAUAUGCAACAAUAGUGUUCAAGAAUAUAUUAUUUUUUUCUUAAAGUAUGAUUUUACAGCAUUAAAUUUUGAUAAUUCUUAUUGUAUAUAUAAUAAGAUUUAUUGCAAAUAAUGUUUCUUCUUGUAGUGUGUUAUUUUUAUCAAAAUAGCAUACAUAUGUCACUAGUAGAACAUUAUUUGCAAGCUGACUCAUCCAAUUGCAUAGCAAACGAAGAGGUUUCGAGAAUACCUUAUAAGUUUAUUUUCAACAAUAAUUGCCAAUUUUUCAAUUCAUCACUUUAUUCUGCUGUCAUUUAAAGACAAUGUUCUCAAAGCUUAAGGUAUAUCCUGAUGCAUCACUGUCGAAAUAAAUUCUUUUAUAGAGGGUAUUAUUUAAGCUCUACCAAUGUUAUACCUUUUUACCACUUUUUGCAAUUAAUUCUGAUAGAUGAUAAGGCCGUUUAUCCAUCUUCAUUAAUGGAAUAUUAUUUCUUGAAUGGUGCAGCUAAUUUUGGGUGAUUUUGAAAUUUUUUACAUGUAUUUAAAAAAUAUUUAAUGACCUUAUCGGUGUGUUUUUGGUGCUUUGUAGCAAGGUGUCCUUCCGAUUGAGUUGGCUUCAUUGCUUUAUUUGAUAAUGUUUUAAUGCAUAUUAAACACAUUAAAACUUGUUUAUUUGCAACACAUUCAAUAAAAUCCAUCUUCAGAUAUUCUGUUGAGUAACCAUGAGCAUAUUUAUUUUAUCUCGCUCCCCCUUGAGACAUAAGUUAUGAAACACAAUUCAUAAAACCUAUUUUAAGCUAUAGACACAUGUUCAUUUUACAAAUCUAACUAGAUAUUACCUACUGAAACAAACUCAACUUGAAACUUGAGCGAUGACAUCCUGCUUUCGUUAAACCAGUAUCACAUCUACUGCCUAGCCUCAGCAGUGCCUUGAAAAAUGCACUUCCCAGAAUUUUAGCUUUCAGGAUAUCUGAUUGAUUGAUCUACAAUCAAAAGUCGUUAAUCCGGACUCGUCGGGACUUCGGCGAUUCCAGAUUAUCGAUUUUUCCGGAUUAUAGAUCAUCAGUUUAAAU